rnacentral:tRNA from 1 species
GCGGGUGUAGUUCAAUGGUAGAACACGAGCUUCCCAUGCUCGGAACGAGGGUUCGAUUCCCUUCACCCGCUCCA